rnacentral:rRNA from 1 species
UGGGGAAUAUUGGACAAUGGGCGCAAGCCUGAUCCAGCCAUGCCGCGUGUGUGAAGAAGGCCUGCGGGUUGUAAAGCACUUUAAGGUGGAAAGAAGGCCUGGGGGCGAAUACCCUCUGGGAUUGACGUUACCACCAGAAUAAGCACCGGCUAACUCCGUGCCAGCAGCCGCGGUAAUACGGAGGGUGCAAGCGUUAAUCGGAAUUACUGGGCGUAAAGCGCGCGUAGGCGGUUCACUCAGUCUGCUGUGAAAGCCCUGGGCUUAACCUGGGAACGGCAGUGGAAACUGGUGAGCUAGAGUAUGGUAGAGGGGAGUGGAAUUUCCGGUGUAGCAGUGAAAUGCGUAGAGAUCGGAAGGAACACCAGUGGCGAAGGCGGCUCUCUGGACCAAUACUGACGCUGAGGUGCGAAAGCGUGGGGAGCAAACA